rnacentral:rRNA from 1 species
UACGUAGGGGGCAAGCGUUGUCCGGAUUUAUUGGGCGUAAAGCGCUCGCAGGUGGUCCGCUGCGUCGUGCGUGAAAGACCCCGGCUCAACUGGGGGAUGUCGUGCGAUACGGGCGGACUGGAGGCCAGUAGGGGGAUGCGGAAUUCCGGGUGUAGUGGUGGAAUGCGUAGAGAUCCGGAGGAACACCAGUGGCGAAGGCGGCGACCUGGGCCAAUACUGACGCUGAGGUGCGAAAGCGUGGGGAGCAAACAGG